CUCUUUCUCUCACCCUCUCGCGACUCACUUUCCCUGCCUUGCCCUGCUCCCGAACUCAUUUUUCAUAGCCGAGCAGUAAAUUUCCCUUCUUUCUCCAAGGGCAGGCGGCUCUCCUCUUUCCUGGAAGUUCGCUACUGAACUCCCUCCAUUGACUCCUUACAACGUGGAAAGACGACAGAACCUGCGAGGAAACAAGGGAAGAAAGAAUAAUGCCUUGUCUUCAUGUCUGUGUCCUUAUCAAACGUCGUCGUCGACGACCCAUUUCUCUAUUUCCUUUGAAAUUUUUUGCAAUCUCUCAUCUUCCUCGCGUCCUCCUCCUUUGAUAAUGGCAAAAUCUCAGAUUUCUUAAUAUAUAGCUUGUCACUAUAACACUGAAAUCAAAUUCAUCAUUCUCCAUAUCCCAAACAGAGAGGGAUUUGAGGGAGUAAAAGAGAUGAAGAGAUGAUGAAGUGGGACGACUUGGCCUGCAAGAACUACCAAUUAGACCGAAGCUAAAAUGGAGCUUUCUUCUCAGAUUGAGAGAUUCAAAGUGACGUAAGCGAUGGGUCGUGUAAUCCGAGCACAAAGGAAGGGAGUAGGCAAAACACUUAUUUGAAUUAUUUUUGAGUUGGAAGGAUUUUUCGGGCUAAAUAUCUCUUCAUUCUAGCUCAGAUAAGGAAGCUUUAAAUAUCAGGUUUGAUUUCUUUCUCUAUUUUGUUCCAUUUCAUUUUGUUGGCUUCACCUCCUUAGCCCUCAACGAGCACAGAACUCACCUCAAGUGUUUGAUGAAAUGUGUCACAGAGAUAUUAUAUCCUGUGGGUGUUGCUUAAGCUGCUUAGAUCCAUGUGGGUUGAGGACCCAAAUGUUUGUAAACUUCAAUAUGGUCUGGUUAAUGCCUGAAUUGUAUCUCUUUUGAUUUUUGAGCUUUUUGUGGAUAUAUUAGUGCUUCCUCUGUUACAGUAAAGUAAAAGCUCUAUAGUAAAAA